UCGAAACCUGCUUAGCAGAACAACCAGCGAACAAGUUAUUUUCAUGCAUGGGGGAGGCGUGCUGGCUUGCCAACUCCCUCCCCUAAGUGUUACGGGGCUUUCCUUUGUGAUUGCUGUGUGACACAACAACCAAACCCCGGCGCGUUAAGCGUCAAGGAAUAUGUUCAUGUGUUUGCCCACCCAUGAUCGGGUCUCCGGUUUAUGGGUGUGGCACCAGUGUAAAGUCAUUAAACGACUCUCGGCAACGGAUAUCUCGGCUCUCGCAUCGAUGAAGAACGUAGCGAAAUGCGAUACUUGGUGUGAAUUGCAGAAUCCCGUGAACCAUCGAGUUUUUGAACGCAAGUUGCGCCCGAAGCCUUCUGGCCAGGGCACGUCUGCCUGGGCGUCACGCAUAGCGUCUCACCUAUCGCACUAAAAUGUGGGAAAGGAGAGGAUGAUGGCCUCCCAUGUCACACCUGACGUGGAUGGCUUAAAAAAGGAGCCUUUGGUUACUAGAUGCCGUGGCGAUUGGUGGUAUAAACUUCUCGUUAUGGAAUAAGUAGCUCAAUAGGCCUCGUAGGACCCUUUGAUAACCUUUGCGACCCCAGGUCAGGCGGGAUUACC
rnacentral:rRNA from 1 species